rnacentral:rRNA from 1 species
UCAGUGUCUGGAUUUAUUGGGCGUAUCGCGAGCGCAAGCGGYUUCUUAAGUCUGAUGUGAAAACCCCCGGUUCAACCGGGGAGGACCUUGGAAACUGGGAAACUUGAGUGCUUAACAUGAGAGUGGAAUUCCAUGCGUAGCGGUGAAAUGCGUAAAUAUAUGGAGGAACACCAGCGGCCAACGCGGCUCUCUGGGCUGUAACUGACGCUGAGGCUCAAAAGCGUGGGGAGCAAACAGGAUUAGAUACCCUGGUAUGCCACGCCGAACACGAUGACUGCUAACUGUUGGAGGGUUUCCCCCCUUCCCAGCUGCAACUUACGCAUUAAGCACUCCGCCUGGUGAGUACAACCGCAAGGGGAAAACUCGAACGAAUUGAGGGGGGCCCGCACAAGCGGAGGAGCAUGCGGGUUAAUUCGAAUGAGCGCGAACAACCUUACCACGUCUUGACAUCCUUUGACCACUCUACACAUAGAGCUUUCCCUUCGGGGACAAAGUGACAGGUGUGCAUGGUUGUCCCCUCUCGUGUCGUGACAUGUUGGGUUAAGUCCCGAACCAGCGCAACCCUUAUUGGAUUUGCCAUCAUUUAUUUGGGCACUCUGCGAGACUGCCCGAGACAAACCGGAUGAACGCGGGGAUGACUCCAUAUCAUCAUGCCCCUUAUCACCUGGGCUACACACCCGCUACAAUGUGAAGCACUACAAGCCCCUAGACCGCAAGGACAUGCCCAUCUCUAAACGCUUCUCUCAACUCCAAUUGCAAGAUGCCACUCGCCUGCAUGAAACCCCAAUCAAUACCAGUCGCGGAUCGCCACCUCCCGAUGAAUACGC